GUAUACUAGGAACCCAAAAUAUCAAAGAACACACAACUAAGAUUUCUCAGCAUUAAAAGCUAAAGCAAUUUCAGAAAGACUACAGGCAACAUUUUCUUCUUCUGAUAAUCGAGUACUUAAGGCCUGUUAGAAACAGGGCAAGGACUGUUUUCUUCAGAGAGGAGGAAAUUAGAAAGAUGGCUGCUAAGUUUCGCAACAGGGGAACUCUUCCCUUUUUUUCAAAGAGAUUGUGCUAAGGGAGUCGACGCUGGGUUGGGGAGGGUCUGAUUCGGUUGUUGAUUUGUGAAGAAGAAGAUGAACGGGAGGGUCUGUUUUCCAAAAGCUGCGCUAGAGUAUUCUCCUCAGAUUUG
rnacentral:lncRNA from 1 species